GAAGCGGGAAGAGCUCAAAUUUGAAAGCUGGCGUCUUCGGCGUCCGCGUUGUAAUCUCGAGACGUGUUUUCCGUGCGGCUCUAUGGACAAGUCCCUUGGAACAGGGCAUCGUAGAGGGUGAAAAUCCCGUACUUGCCAUGGAAGUACCGUGCUUUGUGAUACACGCUCCAAGAGUCGAGUAGUUUGGGAUUGCUGCUCAAAGUGGGUGGUAGACUCCAUCUAAAGCUAAAUAUCGGGGAGAGACCGAUAGCGAACAAGUACCGUGAGGGAAAGAUGAAAAGCACUUUGGAAAGAGAGUUAAAAGUACGUGAAAUUGUCGAAAGGGAAGCACUUGAAGUCAGCCAUGCUGCUUGAGACUCAGCCUGGCUUUUGCUUGGUGUAUUUCUCGGUAGCAAGCCAGCAUUGGUUUGUGUCGUCGGAGAAGCGUAUGGGGAAUGUGGCAUCCUCGGAUGUGUUAUAGCCCUGUGCAGGAUACGAC
rnacentral:rRNA from 1 species